rnacentral:rRNA from 1 species
AACCUGUUCUUGACUUUGGGAUAACUUCAGGAAACUGGGGCUAAUACCGGAUAGGAGCUCCUGCUGCAUGGUGGGGGUUGGAAAGUUUCGGCGGUUGGGGAUGGACUCGCGGCUUAUCAGCUUGUUGGUGGGGUAGUGGCUUACCAAGGCUUUGACGGGUAGCCGGCCUGAGAGGGUGACCGGCCACAUUGGGACUGAGAUACGGCCCAGACUCCUACGGGAGGCAGCAGUGGGGAAUAUUGCACAAUGGGCGGAAGCCUGAUGCAGCAACGCCGCGUGCGGGAUGACGGCCUUCGGGUUGUAAACCGCUUUCGCCUGUGACGAAGCGUGAGUGACGGUAAUGGGUAAAGAAGCACCGGCUAACUACGUGCCAGCAGCCGCGGUGAUACGUAGGGUGCGAGCGUUGUCCGGAUUUAUUGGGCGUAAAGGGCUCGUAGGUGGUUGAUCGCGUCGGAAGUGUAAUCUUGGGGCUUAACCCUGAGCGUGCUUUCGAUACGGGUUGACUUGAGGAAGGUAGGGGAGAAUGGAAUUCCUGGUGGAGCGGUGGAAUGCGCAGAUAUCAGGAGGAACACCAGUGGCGAAGGCGGUUCCCUGGGCCUUUCCUGACGCUGAGGAGCGAAAGCGUGGGGAGCGAACAGGCUUAGAUACCCUGGUAGUCCACGCUGUAAACGGUGGGUACUAGGUGUGGGGUCCAUUCCACGGGUUCCGUGCCGUAGCUAACGCUUUAAGUACCCCGCCUGGGGAGUACGGCCGCAAGGCUAAAACUCAAAGGAAUUGACGGGGCCCCGCACAAGCGGCGGAGCAUGCGGAUUAAUUCGAUGCAACGCGUAGAACCUUACCUGGGUUUGACAUGGAUCGGGAGUGCUCAGAGAUGGGUGUGCCUCUUUUGGGGUCGGUUCACAGGUGGUGCAUGCCUGUCGUCAGCUCGUGUCGUGAGAUGUUGGGUUAAGUCCCGCAACGAGCGCAACCCUUGUUCACUGUUGCCAGCACGUUAUGGUGGGGACUCAGUGGAGACCGCCGGGGUCAACUCGGAGGAAGGUGGGGAUGACGUCAAGUCCUCAUGCCCCUUAUGUCCAGGGCUUCACGCAUGCUACAAUGGCUGGUACAGAGAGUGGCGAGCCUGUGAGGGUGAGCGAAUCUCGGAAAGCCGGUCUCAGUUCGGAUUGGGGUCUGCAACUCGACCUCAUGAAGUCGGAGUCGCUAGUAAUCGCAGAUCAGCAACGCUGCCGUGAAUACGCUCCCGGGGCU